rnacentral:rRNA from 1 species
UACGAAGGGGGCUAGCGUUGUUCGGAAUCACUGGGCGUAAAGGGCGCGUAGGCGGCUUGAUAAGUCGGGGGUGAAAGCCUGUGGCUCAACCACAGAAUUGCCUUCGAUACUGUCGAGCUUGAGACCGGAAGAGGUAAGUGGAACUGCGAGUGUAGAGGUGAAAUUCGUAGAUAUUCGCAAGAACACCAGUGGCGAAGGCGGCUUACUGGCUCGUUUCUGACGCUCAGGCACGAUAGCGUGGGGAUCAAACAGG